rnacentral:rRNA from 1 species
UACGAAGGGGGCUAGCGUUGCUCGGAAUUACUGGGCGUAAAGCGCUCGUAGGCGGCUUUCUAAGUCGGGGGUGAAAUCCUGGAGCUCAACUCCAGAACUGCCUUCGAUACUGGAGAGCUCGAGUCCGGGAGAGGUGAGUGGAACUGCGAGUGUAGAGGUGAAAUUCGUAGAUAUUCGCAAGAACACCAGUGGCGAAGGCGGCUCACUGGCCCGGUACUGACACUGAGAGACGAAAGCGAGGGGAGCGAAUGGG